UACGUAGGGUGCGAGCGUUAAUCGGAAUUACUGGGCGUAAAGCGUGCGCAGGCGGUUGUGUAAGACAGGCGUGAAAUCCCCGGGCUCAACCUGGGAACUGCGCUUGUGACUGCACGGCUAGAGUACGGCAGAGGGGGGUGGAAUUCCACGUGUAGCAGUGAAAUGCGUAGAGAUGUGGAGGAACACCGAUGGCGAAGGCAGCCCCCUGGGCCGAUACUGACGCUCAUGCACGAAAGCGUGGGUAGCAAACAGGAUUAGAUACCCUGGUAGUCCACGCCCUAAACGAUGUCAACUAGGUGUUGGGUGGGUAAAACCAUUUAGUACCGUAGCUAACGCGUGAAGUUGACCGCCUGGGGAGUACGGCCGCAAGGUUAAA
rnacentral:rRNA from 1 species